rnacentral:rRNA from 1 species
CGCAUUCGCCCUUCGGGGUGCACCAGGCGCGAAAACUCCACAAUGUACGGAAGUACGAUGGGGUUAUCUCGAGUGCAGUCCGAUAAGGGCUGCUUUUCCAUAGAGUAAUAUCCUGUGGGAAUAAGAGGGGGGCAAGACUGGUGUCAGCCGCCGCGGUAACACCAGCCCCUCGAGUGGUAGGGACUUUUAUUUGGCCUAAAGCGUCCGUAGCUGGCUGUAUCCGUUUCCCGGCAAAUCCGGCGUCUUAAGCGUCGGGCUUCGGGUAAUACCAUACAGCUUGAGGGUGGGAUAGGUGAGCGGUAUUUCUGGGGUAGGGGCGAAAUCCUUUGAUCCCAGGAGGACCACCAGUGGCGAAGGCUGCUCACUAGAACACGCCUGACGGUCAGGGACGAAAGCUGGGGCAGCGAACCGGAUUAGAUACCCGGGUAGUCCCAGCUGUAAACGAUGCUGCUAGNGUGUUGGGUCGGCCACGCGCCGCCCCAGUGCCGCAGGGAAGCCGUUAAGCUAGCCGCCUGGGGAGUACGGCCGCAAGGCUGAAACUUAAAGGAAUUGGCGGGGGAGCAC